AUAUGUCUAUAGGGGCCGUUU
rnacentral:piRNA from 1 species